AGCUUUGCGCAGUGGCAGUAUUGUAGCCAAUGAGGUUUAUCCGAGGCGCGAUUAUUGCUAAUUGAAAAAUCCUCCUGAUCACUC
ensembl:snRNA U4 U4 spliceosomal RNA